ACCNGAAGGUCGAGGUAGUGACAAAAAAUAACGAUACGGGACUCAUCUGAGGCCCCGUAAUCGGAAUGAGUACACUUUAAAACCGUCCCCGAGGAUCUAUUGGAGGGCAAGUCUGGUGCCAGCAGCCGCGGUAAUUCCAGCUCCAAUAGCGUAUAUUAAAGUUGUUGUGGUUAAAAAGCUCGUAGUUGGAUCUCGGCGGUCUGAGGGCGGUUCGCUUGAUUGAGUGCUACUGCUCUAUAGGCCGUGGUUUUGCCAGAGGUCUCGGGGUGCUCUUAACCGAGUGUCCUGCGAUGCUGGCAGGUUUACUUUGAAAAAAUUAGAGUGCUCAAAGCAGGCUUUUACGCCUGAAUAUUCGUGCAUGGAAUAAUAGAAUAGGAAGUCGUUUCUAUUUUGUUGGUUUUCGGAAAUCGACUUAAUGAUUAAUAGGGACAGUCGGGGGCAUUUGUAUUCAAACGACAGAGGUGAAAUUCUUGGACCGUUUGAAGACAAACUACUGCGAAAGCAUUUGCCAAGAAUGUUUUCAUUAAUCAAGAACGAAAGUUAGAGGUUCGAAGGCGAUUAGAUACCGCCCUAGUUCUAACCAUAAACGAUGCCAGCUAGCGAUCUGCCGACGUUUUCUUUGUAGACUCGGCAGGAAGCUUCCGGGAAACCAAAGCAUUUGGGUUCCAGGGGAAGUAUGGUUGCAAAGCUGAAACUUAAAGGAAUUGACGGAAGGGCACCACCAGGAGUGGAGCCUGUGGCUUAAUUUGACUCAACACGGA
rnacentral:rRNA from 1 species